UGAGUAACCUGCCCUUAACUCUGGGAUAAGCCUGGGAAACUGGGUCUAAUACCGGAUAUGACUCCUCAUCGCAUGGGUGGGGGGUGGAAAGCUUUAUUGUGGUUUUGGAUGGACUCGCGGCCUAUCAGCUUGUUGGUGAGGUAAUGGCUCACCAAGGCGACGACGGGUAGCCGGCCUGAGAGGGUGACCAGCCACACUGGGACUGAGACACGGCCCAGACUCCGUACGGGAGCAG
rnacentral:rRNA from 1 species